rnacentral:rRNA from 1 species
GACGAACGCUCCUUUAGUGCUUAACACAUGCAAGUCGAACGGUAAGGCUCCAGCUUGCUGGGGUACACGAGUGGCGAACGGGUGAGUAACACGUGGGUGACCUGCCCUGCACUUCGGGAUAAGCCUGGGAAACUGGGUCUAAUACCGGAUAGGACCGCACCGUGAGGGUGUGGUGGAAAGUUUUUUCGGUGUGGGAUGGGCCCGCGGCCUAUCAGCUUGUUGGUGGGGUAAUGGCCUACCAAGGCGGCGACGGGUAGCCGGCCUGAGAGGGUGGACGGCCACAUUGGGACUGAGACACGGCCCAGACUCCUACGGGAGGCAGCAGUGGGGAAUAUUGCACAAUGGGCGGAAGCCUGAUGCAGCGACGCCGCGUGGGGGAUGACGGCCUUCGGGUUGUAAACUCCUUUCACCAUCGACGAAGGGUUUCUGACGGUAGAUGGAGAAGAAGCACCGGCUAACUACGUGCCAGCAGCCGCGGUAAUACGUAGGGUGCGAGCGUUGUCCGGAAUUACUGGGCGUAAAGAGCUCGUAGGUGGUUUGUCGCGUCGUCUGUGAAAUUCCGGGGCUUAACUCCGGGCGUGCAGGCGAUACGGGCAUAACUUGAGUACUGUAGGGGAGACUGGAAUUCCUGGUGUAGCGGUGAAAUGCGCAGAUAUCAGGAGGAACACCGGUGGCGAAGGCGGGUCUCUGGGCAGUAACUGACGCUGAGGAGCGAAAGCAUGGGGAGCGAACAGGAUUAGAUACCCUGGUAGUCCAUGCCGUAAACGGUGGGCGCUAGGUGUGGGUUUCCUUCCACGGGAUCCGUGCCGUAGCUAACGCAUUAAGCGCCCCGCCUGGGGAGUACGGCCGCAAGGCUAAAACUCAAAGGAAUUGACGGGGGCCCGCACAAGCGGCGGAGCAUGUGGAUUAAUUCGAUGCAACGCGAAGAACCUUACCUGGGCUUGACAUAUACAGGAUCGCGCCAGAGAUGGUGUUUCCCUUGUGGCUUGUAUACAGGUGGUGCAUGGUUGUCGUCAGCUCGUGUCGUGAGAUGUUGGGUUAAGUCCCGCAACGAGCGCAACCCUUGUCUUAUGUUGCCAGCACGUUGUGGUGGGGACUCGUAAGAAACUGCCGGGGUUAACUCGGAGGAAGGUGGGGAUGACGUCAAAUCAUCAUGCCCCUUAUGUCCAGGGCUUCACACAUGCUACAAUGGUCGGUACAGUGGGUUGCCAGUCCGUGAGGGCGAGCUAAUCCCGCAAAGCCGGUCUCAGUUCGGAUCGGGGUCUGCAACUCGACCCCGUGAAGUCGGAGUCGCUAGUAAUCGCAGAUCAGCAACGCUGCGGUGAAUACGUUCCCGGCCC